AUUGAACGCUGGCGGCAGGCCUAACACAUGCAAGUCGAGCGGAUGAAGGGAGCUUGCUCCUGGAUUCAGCGGCGGACGGGUGAGUAAUGCCUAGGAAUCUGCCUGGUAGUGGGGGAUAACGUCCGGAAACGGGCGCUAAUACCGCAUACGUACUGAGGGAGAAAGUGGGGGAUCUUCGGACAUCACGCUAUCAGAUGAGCCUAGGUCGGAUUAGCUAGUUGGUGGGGUAAGGGCCUACCAAGGCGACGAUCCGUAACUGGUCUGAGAGGAUGAUCAGUCACACUGGAACUGAGACACGGUCCAGACUCCUACGGGAGGCAGCAGUGGGGAAUAUUGGACAAUGGGCGAAAGCCUGAUCCAGCCAUGCCGCGUGUGUGAAGAAGGUCUUCGGAUUGUAAAGCACUUUAAGUUGGGAGGAAGGGCAGUAAGUUAAUACCUUGCUGUUUUGACGUUACCAACAGAAUAAGCACCGGCUAACUUCGUG
rnacentral:rRNA from 1 species